rnacentral:misc_RNA from 1 species
GAUGAAGAACGUAGCGAAAUGCGAUACGUAAUGUGAAUUGCAGAAUUCAGUGAAUCAUCGAAUCUUUGAACGCAUAUUGCGCUCUCUGGUAUUCCGGAGAGCAUGCUUGUUUGAGUAUCAGUAAACACCUCAACUUCCAUAUCUUUUUUGAAAUGGGAGUUGGACUUGAGUGAUCCCAACGCUUUUCCUCACCGAAAAGUGGCGGGUUACUUGAAAUGCAGGUGCAGCUGGACUUUUCUCUGAGCUAUAAGCAUAUCUAUUUAGUCUGCCUAAAAAACAGAUUAUUACCUUUGCUGCAGCUAACAUAAAGGCGAUUAGUUCUUGUGCUGACUGAUGCAGGAUUCACAAAGACGGCUUCGGCCGACUUUGUAAACUCGAUCUCAAAUCAAGUAAGACUACCCGCUGAACUUAAGCAUAUCAAUAAGCGGAGGA